rnacentral:rRNA from 1 species
GCUACACAUGCAGUCGAGCGGAACGAUGGUAGCUUGCUACCAGGCGUCGAGCGGCGGACGGGUGAGUAAUACUUAGGAAUCUACCUAGUAGUGGGGGAUAGCACGGGGAAACUCGUAUUAAUACCGCAUACGACCUACGGGAGAAAGGGGGCAGUUUACUGCUCUCGCUAUUAGAUGAGCCUAAGUCGGAUUAGCUAGAUGGUGGGGUAAAGGCCUACCAUGGCGACGAUCUGUAGCUGGUCUGAGAGGAUGAUCAGCCACACCGGGACUGAGACACGGCCCGGACUCCUACGGGAGGCAGCAGUGGGGAAUAUUGGACAAUGGGGGAAACCCUGAUCCAGCCAUGCCGCGUGUGUGAAGAAGGCCUUUUGGUUGUAAAGCACUUUAAGCAGUGAAGAAGACUCUUCGGUUAAUACCCGGAGACGAUGACAUUAGCUGCAGAAUAAGCACCGGCUAACUCUGUGCCAGCAGCCGCGGUAAUACAGAGGGUGCAAGCGUUAAUCGGAAUUACUGGGCGUAAGCGAGCGUAGGUGGCUUGAUAGUCAGAUGUG